rnacentral:rRNA from 1 species
UACGUAGGGGGCUAGCGUUGUCCGGAAUCAUUGGGCGUAAAGAGCGUGUAGGCGGUCCGGUAAGUCCGCUGUGAAAGUCGGGGGCUCAACCUCGAAUGCCGGUGGAUACUGUCGGGCUAGAGUGCGGAAGAGGCGAGUGGAAUUCCUGGUGUAGCGGUGAAAUGCGCAGAUAUCAGGAGGAACACCUAUUGCGAAGGCAGCUCGCUGGGACGUAACUGACGCUGAGACGCGAAAGCGUGGGGGAGCAAAACAGGAUUAGAUACCUAG